rnacentral:rRNA from 1 species
AUGCCGGUGUGAGUAGCGAAAGACGGGUGAGAAUCCCGUCCACCGAUUGACUAAGGUUUCCAGAGGAAGGCUCGUCCGCUCUGGGUUAGUCGGGUCCUAAGCUGAGGCCGACAGGCGUAGGCGAUGGAUAACAGGUUGAUAUUCCUGUACCACCUAGCAUCGUUUUAAUCGAUGGGGGGACGCAGUAGGAUAGGCGAAGCGUACGAUUGGAUUGUACGUCUAAGCAGUGAGAUUGAGUGUUAGGCAAAUCCGGCACUCUUAAGAUUGAGCUGUGAUGGGGAGAGGAAAUUGUUUCCUCGAGUCGUUGAUUUCACACUGCCGAGAAAAGCCUCUAGAUAGAUAAUAGGUGCCCGUACCGCAAACCGACACAGGUAGUCAAGAUGAGAAUUCUAAGGUGAGCGAGCGAACUCUCGUUAAGGAACUCGGCAAAAUGACCCCGUAACUUCGGGAGAAGGGGUGCUCUUUAGGGUGCAAGCCCAGAAGAGCCGCAGUGAAUAGGCCCAAGCGACUGUUUAUCAAAAACACAGGUCUCUGCUAAACCGUAAGGUGAUGUAUAGGGGCUGACGCCUGCCCGGUGCUGGAAGGUUAAGAGGAGUGGUUAGCUUCUGCGAAGCUACGAAUCGAAGCCCCAGUAAACGGCGGCCGUAACUAUAACGGUCCUAAGGUAGCGAAAUUCCUUG